ACGCUCGACACCUACGGGAGCAGCAGUGGGGAAUAUUGCACAAUGGGGGAAACCCUGAUGCAGCGACGCCGCGUGAGCGAAGAAGUAUUUCGGUAUGUAAAGCUCUAUCAGCAGGAAAGAAGAAAGACGGUACCUGACUAAGAAGCCCCGGCUAACUACGUGCCAGCAGCCGCAGUAAUCUGAGCGGGCUGGCAAGGC
rnacentral:rRNA from 1 species